rnacentral:rRNA from 1 species
GCAAGGGGAGCGGCAGACGGGAGAGUAACACGUGGGAACGUACCCUUCAGUUCGGAACAACCCAGGGAAACUUGGGCUAAUACCGAAUACGUCCGUAAGGAGAAAGAUUUAUCGCUGAAGGAUCGGCCCGCGUCUGAUUAGCUAGUUGGUGGGGUAAUGGCCCACCAAGGCGACGAUCAGUAGCUGGUCUGAGAGGAUGAUCAGCCUCACUGGGACUGAGACACGGCCCAGACUCCUACGGGAGGCAGCAGUGGGGAAUAUUGGACAAUGGGGGCAACCCUGAUCCAGCCAUGCCGCGUGGGUGAUGAAGGCCUUAGGG